ensembl:lncRNA
UCCUGGGAGCUCCAAGCAGGUUAUCAGUCACGAGGCCUUCCUUCUCCCGAGUCUGGUCAGGGCUUGGCUGUCCGGACAGUCGGUCAGAACACCGGUCCGAAAGAGAACCCUGAAUACCGUCAAGUGGCGUGCGUCCUUGUUGGUCUCGGGGUUCCUUCGUUCCAGCCAGGCUGAGCCAUCCACCAGUCCGGUGGCUCAACGGGCUGGCGUGCUUGGAAUCUCGCUGGGGCCUCCAGAAAUGUUGCAGAAACAGGACCACCAGUGCGAAUAUGAGUGUGAAGUCGCUUCAGUUGUGUCCGACACUUUGCAACCCCACGGACUGCAGCCUGCCAGGCUCCUCUGUCCAUGGGAUUCUCCAGGCAAGAAUACUGGAGUGGGUUGCCAUUUCCUUCUCCAGGGGAAUCUUUCCAACCCAGGGAUGGAUCCGCGUCUCCUCCAUUGGCAGGUUCUUUACCACUAGAGCCACUGGGGAAGCCCACUAGACCACCAAGGAAGUCCCAGAUCCCACAUCUGAGUUGAGCUCAGGGCAUACGUAGGACCAGCCCAGCCUCAGACUCUGGUCCUGUCUCUGCCCUGCUCCCGAAAGUACGACCCAGGCAGCCUACUGAGCUUCCAUCCCUUCUUCCUCAUCCCUUAUUUUGGGUUUCCAACGGAGACUGCAGCCCCAAUUCUUCAUCUCCUAUGGACCUCAUACCCCAGCUGUGUCCUAGAGGACGGUAUGAGCCCCUAGACCUAUAUUCCAGUUGGAGCACUGACUGCACCCAGGCGCUGACCCCUGCCUGACCCCGGCCAUGGCCCUGGACUCUGGGUCUUCCUGAGCUCCGGAAGCUCUCUCUGUUUUGCAACCUGGCUGGCUUCCUUGAGUGGCCCUGGCCCCCAGGCUCACCUCCAUCGCCGUCCGUCUCCUCCUGAGGCCCCACGGAGCCUCCCUGGGCAGCACUUCAAGCUGUGGAGGCCCGCUCCCCACCCCCGCCCCUGCCCCGGCCUGUGUCUUGAACUCGUCUGCUCUCCGGUGCCUGUGGUCACUCAGAUGGCCCUCCAGGACUACUGGGUGCACCCGGGCAGGUCUCUUCAC